UGUGAACAUACCUAAAACGUUGCUUCGGCGGGAACAGACGGCCCUGUAACAACGGGCCGCCCCCGCCAGAGGACCCCUAACUCUGUUUUUAUAAUGUUUUUCUGAGUAAACAAGCAAAUAAAUUAAAACUUUCAACAACGGAUCUCUUGGCUCUGGCAUCGAUGAAGAACGCAGCGAAAUGCGAUAAGUAAUGUGAAUUGCAGAAUUCAGUGAAUCAUCGAAUCUUUGAACGCACAUUGCGCCCGCCAGUAUUCUGGCGGGCAUGCCUGUUCGAGCGUCAUUACAACCCUCAGGCCCCCGGGCCUGGCGUUGGGGAUCGGCGGAAGCCCCCUGUGGGCACACGCCGUCCCUCAAAUACAGUGGCGGUCCCGCCGCAGCUUCCAUUGCGUAGUAGCUAACACCUCGCAACUGGAGAGCGGCGCGGCCAUGCCGUAAAACACCCAACUUCUGAAUGUUGACCUCGAAUCAGGUAGGAAUACCCGCUGAACUUAAGCAUAUCA
rnacentral:rRNA from 1 species